GCAGAGAAGAUGGCACAAGCAUUUUCCCCCAAAGCAGGGCCAAUGUUCAGAUCCAUGUCAGGCGCCGGGGAGGAAGAUUCCUCCGAACUGACAUUGGCUUUUAGGAGAGGAGGAAAAGCAGUAGACUCAACCAUGUCCUCAAUGCCGAGAAGGGGAGAGAGAGGCGGCGAGACCGGAGAAAGUGGCCUAGAGAUUCCAUACUCAGCGUAUAGAUCAAGAGAGACAUCACUGAUCGAGUUUCCCGUAGAGAGAUGAUUGUGGCUUACCAUCAAAAAGGCAGUAAGUGAGGGGGCCUAAGAGGAGGAGAGGGUGGGG
rnacentral:lncRNA from 1 species